UGGGUUUUAGUUUUUGGUUGGGCAUUUUGGCCAGGGUCAAACUUUCUCCUAAUUUCAUUUGGUUCUUGUUACGUACAUAGCUUCUUAUUUUCAAUGCUAGCUUUUCUUAAUAUUUAUGAUACGUGACUUAAAAGAAGGUGAAUAGUGAUAACUUUUUAAAAGAGAGAUAUAAGGUGAAUAGUGAUAACUUUUUAAAGAGAGAUAUAAGGUGAAUAGUAAUAACUUUCUAACAGAAAGAUAUACUUUUCUUGUUUUGAAGUUCUAAUCUUGUACUCCAUAAAUUACUGUGUGCCAAAGAAGGAAAUGAAGUUCCUGUGGCUUGAUCUUGAUCUAUAUUUUAAUAGCUUCUUGUUUCAAUCUAAAAUUUGUUUCAUGAUCGACUUGGGAUGAGUGAAAUCAGGAAGUAAAAUUGCAUGCAUUUGCUUAAUUUUGUCUUCUUUAUUCUGCAUCACCCUUUGUGGAAACUGUUUAACCUUUUACAAUUACUCUAAGAUUGAGUUGUUUUUGGAAAUGCUUUGUAGCUUUGAUCAAUAGUCAGAAUUCUAAAGGUACACAUAUUGGUUGUACACUUGGUUUGACUUUCCUUUCUCCAUCUUCCUGUAGUUCAACUCUAUAGUUUUGAUCAAUAUUCUUUUUGGGUUACAGCAAAUAAAUCCAAUCAUAAAAGCGUCCAAUUGAGAGAAGUGAAAAAGAGCCUCAAGUGCCACAAUGGUAAAUUACUCUGUUUCUUAUUUGUAUUCGAUAAUUUUGCUUUGCUUUGCGCCUUGAAUAUUAUAGGUAAAAUAUAUUUAAUAUUCCAAUUGACCCAGUUUAGAUAAAAAUAUAAAAUAAUUAUCUUAUAUUUUACUAAAAUGUUUGCUAAUACUUUUUCUUUUAAAUUCUUUUGGCAUUUUGGCAUAUAUUGGCUAUGUCGUCUUCUGUAUUACAUGCUAUGCAUCAUGGCAUUUUAGCACACAUUGGCUACCUUGUCCGCUAGCCUACGUCAAUUGCAGUAUAAUGAUGCUAAUUUUGAAGGUUAGCUAGCUGAAAAUUUUUAUGUGAUUUUUGUUUGUAUUUAUGUUGUUGGACACUUUAGUAAGAACAAGAAAGCGAUUGCCUGUGGUUUAUUUAUUUAUAUCAUAUGUUUUCAUUUCUUUUUUACUGGGAGUAGAGCUAUUUUUGCACUCUUUUUUAGUUAUAGAAGCUCUAAAUAAAUUCAAUCAAGAAAGCAUCCAACUGAGAGAAGGGAAAAAGAGCCUCAAGUACCAAAAUGGUAAAUUAUUUCACUUUUUAUUUCUAUUCGAUAAUUCUGCUUUGCGUUUUUUAUCUUAAAUAUUAUGGGUAAAAUGUAUUUAAUAAUCUUAUUGGGUAUAACAAUAAGAUUUUAGUGAUCAUCUUUCUGUAGGGAGUUUUAAUCUUGCCAAUCCUUUUUUUGGCGUUUUGAACACAAAGAUUAGAUCAGAAAACAAAAUAAUUGAAUCUCAGUGUUUGCACCUUUCUCUGUUUUCCUUCUUAUUUUG
rnacentral:lncRNA from 1 species